rnacentral:rRNA from 2 species
CGGUUCGCCGCCCGUGACUCUGCGAGAAGUCCAUUGAACCUUAUCAUUUAGAGGAAGGAGAAGUCGUAACAAGGUUUCCGUAGGUGAACCUGCGGAAGGAUCAUUG